UAUAGGAGUUGAAGAAGUUAAUUAAGGUGCCAUUACUGUGAUAGUUGUGAGCCGGGAUAAGCUUGGUGGUACCUCUUUUCUUUUGUUUGUUAUUUUUUUUGAAUAAGAGGAUUGAGAGUUUUUGAAUAUUGAGAAGUGAAUUAUGGAAUGAAAAUGUGAUUGGUAUUAUUUGAGAAGAAGAAAGAUUGAAUGCUGAAAUCUGAUUGUAGUUCAGCAGAGAGAAUGAGUCUGUGUUUGUGUAAAAUACCAUAAUGUGAAUGGCAGUUCUAUGUGAAGAAUUCCAGUGAUUGGAAUGAGGGUAAUUGUGUGUUGAAAGCUGUGAGGGCGCAAUAUUACAAUUGGAGAUUAUGAGGGUGAAUAUAUUGGUAGAAAUAGCAGUCAUUGGCAUAACUGAAUUGCUGUAAGGAAGAGACCGAUAAGGUGAAGGAGGAGAUUAUAGUUUCCUUGUGUAUUCAGAUAUUAGAAAUAGAGACGAUACAUUCAGGAGGUAAUUGAUUGUAUGACCCUAACAUGAAUGCUUAAGCAACUAGUCAUUCUCUGUGUUUGAAUCCCCUUAUACGGAUUUAUUUCUAUUAGAUUAAUUUGGAAUAAGUAAAAUGAGCAAUUACAUUUUGGAGCCACUGCUGGGGAGUGAUAAUAGCUUUGAGUGUUAGGAAUUAAUUGUCAAACGUGUGAAAAAAUUGAUAAUGGAAGAUGAUUUUAGUAGUAUUUGAAGAAAGAGUAUGGUUAUUAGGAAUGAGAAUUUAAUAGCAAAGAAAAUAAAGCAAUCAAAGGAAAGAAUAGAAAGAUCGCAAGCAAGAAAUUUGUUGCGUAAUGAGCGAGAUCAUAAAUUAAAAAAGAAGCAUUAACAAAGUUGGAUUAAGCCAUGGUUGCAUGCUUGUCGGCAUAUUCGAUCAUACCUAGAAGACGAUCGAUCUCUAAUAUUUCAGAAGUACAUACCGUUCAAAAAAUUACCAAGAGCACUCAUGGGGAGCGUUGCUAAUAGUCAAGCAUACCUCUCAAAGUCGUUAACAGAAAGUGAGGAAGAUAUAGAGGAAAUAGAUACUCCAUUGGGUAUUUUCUCAAUUAGAGAUAUGUCCAAUUCUAACAAGACUAAUUCUGAAGAUCGAUAUAAAUCACUUGCCAAUAAAGACCAAUUCAAAGUAUAUCAAAACCUAUCAUUUUCACCUCAUAUUCAACCAGUAAAAUUAUUUGGAAAUAAUAAUAGUCAAUCGAGAAGGCCUGGAAGUCCGAAAAAGACUUUUGCAGGAGACAAUUUUUAUUUUAAUAAGGAAUUAAGCAGAACAUUGGCAUCUUUAAUGGCGUCUGGAGGACCAGCAGUUCCGAUUGCAAUUCAAAUGGGUGCAGUGAGCGAUCAUAUGACUAGUGUCACGUCACUACCUACUUUUCAGGGAUUUCUAGGUGCAGAUCUUGAUCAACAUUUGUCUCAAUUCUUGAUGGCGUGUGUAGCCAAUAAUGGCAGAACUGAAGAUAUUUGGUUCAGAUGGCUGCCAGUGACAUUGAAAGACAGAGCAUUUGAGUGGUAUAACCGCCAACCUGUGGGACAAUUUAUCAAUUGGGAGGUAUUGAAAAAUGCAUUUUUAGUCCAUUUUCGACCAAUUGGUUUUGAAGAACGUCUUAGAGAAAAAUUAAUGAAUAGCAGAAUGGUACUAGAGAAAGCGGUACAAUCAUAUUAUGGUCGCAUAGCAGUUAUACUUCAAAAAUAGCCAAAUAACCAAAUGCCGAAAUCAUUUGUGUUGUCCAUAUUGGUUAAUGGACUACACCUACCAGAAUUGAAGAUGUUUAUAAAGGAGGCCCAAUCAGCCACCAUUGCAUCAUCUCUUGAGCGAGCAAAAGUAUGGAAGGAAUGUCACUAUGAGUAGAACUUAACAAUUGGAGCCACAAUGAUUCUAUCUCAAAGAGGUUAUCAAAUGACAAAUUGGAAUGAUGUAUCAAAAGGUUAUCUGAGAAGGAAUGAUUAUGGUACAAUUCCACAGGGAAUUAUAGAUGUCGUUCCAUUGUAGGCUGUAUCACCAUCAUCAUCACAUCCGUAUGCACCUUAUUUCGCGUAUCAAAAACCAAUACCUACAAAGGAAUUGCCAAAUGCAUUAGUAUCAAGGGAUCCCAAUGAGUCAUUGCUGUUAACAUUGACAAAAAAAAUGAAUGAAUUGGCUGUGAAUCUGGCCAAAGAUAAAGAAAAAAGAUAUAAACCAACCAAUAUGCGUCCCAAUGUCUAGUACAACAAUUGUAAGGGGCAAGGUCAAUUAGUAACAGAAUGUCCUUCACCACCCCAAAUGACUGUACAAUGUACCUUUUGUGGGGACAAGCAUAUUACCACCAACUGUUGGAAUUUAUAGAAGCAACAACUCAAUAAUCAGAUAAUGACUCAACCAACUUUGUGGGAUGUCAAUCAAGUACAAAUGAAUAAUAGAUUUGAUUGGAAUGGAAAUCAAACGAAUAAAAAAAAUAGGAAUUAUUCCAAUUUUUUAAACUCUAAAUUUCACCAAGAAGGUAUAUUCAAUAUUCACGGAUUGGCGAUGAACCAACCAAGAUACCAUCAAUAUCUAUCCAUGACGAAGCCAAUGCCAGAGUCUACAGUAACAAUGGACCAAUCAGGAUCCUUUAUUCAUCCAAUAUGGAACAGACCUAGCCGUUAUAUACCAGUAGAGACACCCAAUAUCCCUGAAUGAGCUAGCAGGAGACCACUUUGUUGCUAUCAUUGCAGACAAAUCGGACAUUAUGCGAGUGAAUGUCCUAAUCCAAGGGCCAAUGAUGACUAUGCUCCAAUAUGUAGAAAUUGUAAGUAGCCAGGUCAUACUUAUCAGAAGUACAAUGCACCCUUUAAUUAUAAUAACCAGGACUAACAAAUGUAAAUAAGCCAACCGGCGGAGGACAAAGGCCCUGUUCAAUGAGACUCACGAGUAUAUCGUGUUGAGGUAGUAAACAUAGUGCUUAACAGAGGCCAACAAAAAGACAAGAAUCCAAUUCAAGACUUGGAUGAACCAAUCGCAGGAGAGCAAGUAGCGCCGUCCAUGGGACUAAAUGAACUAAUAUCAAUAUUGGAACGUAUCCCAAUAUUGAGACCUCAACAGACUGAGGAAUCCAAUUCGAUUCUACAUGCCAAUUUACCAGGACCAUUAAGAACGAUCCCAAUUGACCAACUACCAAUACUUGUACAAUCCAAUAAAAGAUCUUAUGCAUUAAAGGAACCUUUAGUGGUAGAAAAGUUGGCGAAGUUAUCAGCAGCAAUCCCAAUUGCCAGGAAGGAAUUACUGCCAAACAGAGUAAAAUUGAAACCAAUGAAAUAUAAAAAAGCAUUGGAAAUUAUUCUCAAUAUGGAAUCCUACGACAUUCUGAAGGAUUUGGAUGUUAUUCAGCCUUCAAUUACAAUGAAGCAACUUUUGGCUGUAGCACCAAAAUAUCGAUCUACAUUGAAUUCAGCACUAAUACAACAAAGAUCUCGUACUAAAGAAAUUCAUGAAGUUAGCUUAAAUCCAGAUCCAGGAGCACCAACAAUCAAUGUAUCAAUCGAUGGCGUUUUAAUUCCAAGGAUACAAGUUGAUGGUAGCUCCAGUGUGAAUUUAAUGAAUGCGGAUAUAAUGGAGGACUUGGAUCUAAAGCAAUUGCUACCUACAACAUUGGUCUUGUAAAUGGCAGAUCAUAGUUGGGUAAAGCCAAUCGGAAUCUUAUGAAAUAUUGCCACUGUAGUCACGAGAUUGACAUACCAUAUUGAUUAUAUUGUAUUCCGAUUACAGAGUUUCACAUUAUCAUAUCCCAUUUUAUUGGACAGACCUUGGCUUUAUCAAGCCAAAACUAAAAACGAUUGGGGCCGAGGCACAUUGACAAUUAGAAAAGGCCGUGACCAGAUUGAUCUAUAGAUGUAUCCGGUAUAAUAUCAUGAAAAAUCUCAAUUGCUAGAAUCAGAAUUUAUAUCAGAUAAUAAGAGUUAAUCGAUUGAGGAAGAUAUCGAUGCUAUAGGUUCACAGCAAUUUGGGGUAGGACAAAAUACUUCAACAGUUAAGGUAGGAGUCUACCAAUGUCGAGGUCUCAGCGAAUGUUUAUUGCAUCAGGAAGAUGCGACUAACUCGGAUCAUGCUAUUGCCAAAUGGAUGAACAAUUCUACAGUCAAUAGAAUCAGCACAUUGGAACCAAAUUUGGAUAGUUCCUAUAUGUCGAAUAAUAUAAGAUAUUUAGAUCAAGAAAAGAUAAUUAAAUCAGAGGUUGUUGAAGACCCUGUAUGUCAAUCCAUUAACUUGGGCACCAACGAAAUGCCACAGUUAAUUAAAAUAUAUGUUGGUAUUAUAGGUACAGAAUUAGAUGCUUGAAAACAGUUUUUUGUCCAUCACAAAUCUGCCUUUGCGUGGUCGUAUGCGGAUUUGAAAGGGAUUCUAGUUGACGUGUAUGAGCACCAGAUUAUUUUGAAGGAGAGUGUUACGCCAGUUCGUCAAAGACAAUACUAGCUUAACUCAAAAUAUUUUCUUUUAGUGAAAGAGGAAUUGGAUAAACUUCUCGACGUGGAUUUUAUUUAUCCUAUUCCGCAUAGUACAUGGAAGUCGCCAAUUGUGAUGGUGUCGAAGAAGAAUGGAAAAAUCAGGAUAUGUCAAGAUUUUUUAAAGUUAAAUGUGGCCACCAAGAAAGAUUACUUCCCAUUACCUUUCACGGACACUAUGGGUAACAUGUUGUCAUUAUCACCAAGUAGUAAAAGAAUAGGAGUGGGGCAUCAGUUAAAGUCAUUUUGUGGUAUUGUUUAGGAUUCACUAGAGUGCCAUUUUCUUAUAUUUCUUGUAUUUUCAAGAGUAGUAGUUCCAGUUAAGAGUUAACAAUGAGGAGCCGGUCACAAGUAUUGAUUGAAGAUAUUCUAGAAUGGAUGAGUCAGCAACAACAACAAUUGGAACUUCGGGAUGCCCAGAUCCUGAAAUUGGAAGCUCAAGUCCAUGAACUGGGAGAGUAUAAUGAAGACCUUUCAGCUCAGUUGAGGCAGGAGCCGAUGGAAGGAUUGGAGGAGGACGAAGAUUUGCAGUUGGAACUAGAAUCGGUGGAACCAAUAACAGAUAUUGCGGCAAUUGAUUAAUUAGAUAGGCCAGAGGGAUCGUAGUUUUUGUAGAAUUUUGUUAAAUAAUUUUUAGAUAGGUAUCAAUUGAGUGUUUGCGAGGAUGCUGCACAUAUAGGAGAAGGACUAUGUAGAAUAGAUAUUAAUUCGUUUUUGAAAGAUAUUGGUAAAAUAUAUUAAUAGUUCAUAUAAUAGGAAAUUCAGGAGAAUGGAUGAGUGAUUUAGUUCUUAAAAGUGGUUAUUUACAGAAUUACGAUUAGAAUCUAGAGAAUCAGGGAAAAGUAUAUAGGAGUUGAAGAAGUUAAUUAAGGUACCAUUGUUGUGAUAGUUGUGAGCCGGGGUAAGGUUGGUGCUACCUCUUUUCUUUUGUUUGUUAUUUUUUUUGAAUAAGAGGAUUGAGAUUUUCUGAAUAUUGAGAAGUGAAUUAUGGAAUGGAAAUGUGAUUGGUAUUAUUUGAGAAGAAGAAAGAUUGAAUGCUGAAAUCUGAUUGUAGUUCAGCAGAGAGAAUGAGUCUGUGUUUGUGUAAAAUACCAUAAUGUGAAUGGCAGUUCUAUGUGAAGAAUUCCAGUGAUUGGAAUGAGGGUAAUUGUGUGUUGAAAGCUAUGAGGGCGCAAUAUUACAAUUGGAGAUUAUGAGGGUGAAUAUAUUGGUAGAAAUAGCAGUCAUUGGUAUAACUGAAUUGCUGUAAGGAAGAGACCGAUAAGGUGAAAGAGGAGAUUAUAGUUUCCUUGUGUGUUCAGAUAUUAGAAAUAGAGACGAUACAUUCAGGAGGUAAUUGAUUGUAUGACCCUAACGUGAAUGCUUAAGCAACUAGUCAUUCUCCAUGUUCGAAUCCUCCUACACGAGUUUAUUCCCAUUAG
rnacentral:lncRNA from 1 species